rnacentral:rRNA from 1 species
GACGAACGCUGGCGGCGUGCUUAACACAUGCAAGUCGAACGGAAAGGCCCUGCUUUUGUGGGGUGCUCGAGUGGCGAACGGGUGAGUAACACGUGAGUAACCUGCCCUUGACUUUGGGAUAACUUCAGGAAACUGGGGCUAAUACCGGAUAGUAUCGCCUGCUGCAUGGUGGGGGUUGGAAAGUUUCGGCGGUUGGGGAUGGACUCGCGGCUUAUCAGCUUGUUGGUGGGGUAGUGGCUUACCAAGGCUUUGACGGGUAGCCGGCCUGAGAGGGUGACCGGCCCCAUUGGGAUUGAGAUACGGCCCAGAGUCAUACGGGAGGCAGCAGUGGGGAAUAUUGCACAAUGGGCGGAAGCCUGAUGCAGCAACGCCGCGUGCGGGAUGACGGCCUUCGGGUUGUAAACCGCUUUCGCUUGUGACGAAGAGUGAGUGACGGUAAUGUGUAAAGAAGCACCGGCUAACUACGUG